UGCAAUUAAUUGCAGCCAUACAUUUUGUGAAAUUUGUUUAAAUACUUGGUUGAAAAAAAGUAAUGUGUAUCCUCUUUGUCGAACUUUAGUUCAAACCAAAACUCUUUGUCUAUCUCUGGAUAACUUUAUUACUAAUAUUUGUAAUCUUCUUGGGAAUGCAAUAAAAGAACAUCGGGAAAAAGUACAACAAGAAAAAUUGACAGUUAAUGUCCCACGAGUAGAGUAUCCGCGACAAAUGGCUAGAAGAGGUCGUAGAAGAAGAUUAAGAUAAUUUACCUUAUUGUUAAAAAUAAAAUAUUUUCUAUACAUUAUCUCACCUAUUGUAUUUUAAAUUUUAAUUAAAAGAUAUUUGAUACCAAGCAAAA